UUCCCUUUAUAGCAAGCAUUUUAACAGUUGAAUUGUUUGUUUCCUUUUUGCAGUAUCCGGAAAGCACUGAAGUUGAGGAGACCCCUUUGGUAGGAAUAGUUCCUCACCAAAUUCGAGGGUUUUUGUCCCUGUAUAAUUUAUUAAUGUCCCGCGGGGAAGCUUUUAGUAACUGCGUUUAUGCUCUGAGAAAGUCCUGCAUGCCUUUUGGGAUAACAAGGAAGAAUUGUUAUUAAAGUGUUGCAACGACGCUCUUUACUUGGAGGAGAUUACCGAGUUGGCAUUUACGAAAGAAAAUAUUGAUCAAGUAAAUUGUUAUUGUGUUUGGUCGCCUUAUUCAGUAGAUUCUCUUACUGGAGUUUUAUGAACA